rnacentral:lncRNA from 1 species
CAGUACAGGCGAUCACAAGGUUAACAAUGGAGGAAUAAAUAUCUAGUGACUUGAGAGCAAUAAUUUAUGAGUUACCUUUCACCGUGUGUCAUCCUUGCUUUAUAUCCCCAAAGUCCGGUUUGUCCUGUAUGCAACUGACUUUUUCGGGCCCACAGCUUUCAGCCGACUAAGUCCUGUCCAAUCCUCAUUAAAUGCAAUGCAGAGAUGACAGUCAAAGUUUUAUCCCCAAUCUACACCGGUCACAGCCCAAGUGGAACCAUACUCAUCUAGUAAUUCGGCCCACUGCAUCCGGACCAAUAGGGCAAAAAUAAUCAUAACCCCAGGGAGGAGCCCAUUAAGUCUGGCCCAAUAAGGAAAAGGAUCAUGGCCCAACAUUGCCCUCCAGUCUUUUAUUAAACAGGAGGUUUAAUGAAACAGUAUAAGUGGAAUCGGUCCAGAAUAAAAGGAAUUAUAAUGAGAUCAACAAAGGACCAAAAUACGGUUUACCAAAGCCCAUCUGGUGAACAUCAAAUAGCAGCAUAAAUUAAGAUCGAAAGUCCAAUUGAAGAACCUGCUCCAGCCGGACAUACAACAACAAAUAUUUCACCGCCUCCCGAACGACUCAGACCUUCGCCACAAAAACCAUUUUCUUAUGAAUCUAGGCCCGAAGCUGUGGCGACACCGAUGAUCAUCGGUUCGGCAAUAAUUCCAUCAUGGAACUGAUGGGUGAAGGAGUGAAAUACCAGACUAAAGGAAGUUGAGAUUCGACCAUCAAUCUGAACUGAUCGAUUAAUAUUAGUCAUCUGCAAGUAAACACUGUCUCCGGGUACCUCCGUCUCAAAUAUAAAGAAGCCGAAGAAGAUACCGAAGAGAAUGCCGAAGAGAAUGCCGAAGAGAUAACGCCAUCCGGAAGUCUGUGUUGGCAAAAGAAAGAAACAAUCUUGAUAUUGCUCUCUUCAACAAUGAAUGCCUUCGGAAGGAUAUCGACAAGAUCAAAGAAGAACUGAAAACGACCAAGGCCACUCAUCGGGUCAUCACUGAUACAAAUGUCGAUCUGUCAAGCUAAAGGAUCAAAGCAUUUGGCACAUCGUCAGAAGCUCGAAGAAGAGCUCAAAGAGCUUCGGACCCUUAAGAAUUUGAGUCCGCCACUGACCGAAGAAUUUCGUAGGGAUAUCCAGGCAGAAUAC